GCUUGCAUCAUGAUUUACAUUUGAGUGAGUGGCGAACUGGUGAGUAACACGUGGGAAACCUGCCCAGAAGCGGGGGAUAACACCUGGAAACAGAUGCUAAUACCGCAUAACAACUUGGACCGCAUGGUCCGAGUUUGAAAGAUGGCUUCGGCUAUCACUUUUGGAUGGUCCCGCGGCGUAUAGCUAGAUGGUGGGGUAACGGCUCACCAUGGCAAUGAUACGUAGCCGACCUGAGAGGGUAAUCGGCCACAUUGGGACUGAGACACGGCCCAAACUCCUACGGGAGGCAGCAGUAGGGAAUCUUCCACAAUGGACGAAAGUCUGAUGGAGCAACGCCGCGUGAGUGAAGAAGGGUUUCGGCUCGUAAAACUCUGUUGUUAAAGAAGAACAUAUCUGAGAGUAACUGUUCAGGUAUUGACGGUAUUUAACCAGAAAGCCACGGCUAACUACGUGCCAGCAGCCGCGGUAAUACGUAGGUGGCAAGCGUUGUCCGGAUUUAUUGGGCGUAAAGCGAGCGCAGGCGGUUUUUUAAGUCUGAUGUGAAAGCCUUCGGCUCAACCGAAGAAGUGCAUCGGAAACUGGGAAACUUGAGUGCAGAAGAGGACAGUGGAACUCCAUGUGUAGCGGUGAAAUGCGUAGAUAUAUGGAAGAACACCAGUGGCGAAGGCGGCUGUCUGGUCUGUAACUGACGCUGAGGCUCGAAAGUAUGGGUAGCAAACAGGAUUAGAUACCCUGGUAGUCCAUACCGUAAACGAUGAAUGCUAAGUGUUGGAGGGUUUCCGCCCUUCAGUGCUGCAGCUAACGCAUUAAGCAUUCCGCCUGGGGAGUACGGCCGCAAGGCUGAAACUCAAAGGAAUUGACGGGGGCCCGCACAAGCGGUGGAGCAUGUGGUUUAAUUCGAAGCUACGCGAAGAACCUUACCAGGUCUUGACAUACUAUGCAAAUCUAAGAGAUUAGACGUUCCCUUCGGGGACAUGGAUACAGGUGGUGCAUGGUGUCGUCAGCUCG
rnacentral:rRNA from 2 species